rnacentral:rRNA from 1 species
GAUGAACGCUGGCGGCGUGCCUAAUACAUGCAAGUCGAGCGAACAGACGAGGAGCUUGCUCCUCUGACGUUAGCGGCGGACGGGUGAGUAACACGUGGAUAACCUACCUAUAAGACUGGGAUAACUUCGUGAAACCGGAGCUAAUACCGGAUAAUAUAUUGAACCGCAUGGUUCAAUAGUGAAAGACGGUUUUGCUGUCACUUAUAGAUGGAUCCUCGCCGCAUUAGCUAGUUGGUAAGGUAACGGCUUACCAAGGCAACGAUGCGUAGCCGAGCUGAGAGGGUGGUCGGCCCCCCUGGAACUGAGACACGGUCAAGACUCCUACGGGGGGCCGCAGUAGGCAAUCUACCGGAAUAGGCGAAAGCCUGACGUGCUAACGCCGCAUGAGUGAUGAAGGUCUCCGGAUCGUAAAACUCUGUUACUAGGGAAGAACAAAUGUGUAAGUAACUAUGCACGUCUUGACGGUACCUUAUCAGGAAGCCACGGCUCACUACGUG